rnacentral:tRNA from 1 species
GCGGAAAUGGCUCAACGGUAGAGCAUCGCCUUCCCAAGGCGAGGGUUGCGAGUUCGAAUCUCGUUUUCCGCUCCA